GACGAACGCUGGCGGCGUGCUUAACACAUGCAAGUCGAACGGAAAGGCCCUGCUUUUGUGGGGUGCUCGAGUGGCGAACGGGUGAGUAACACGUGAGUAACCUGCCCUUGACUUUGGGAUAACUUCAGGAAACUGGGGCUAAUACCGGAUAGGAGCUCCUGCUGCAUGGUGGGGGUUGGAAAGUUUCGGCGGUUGGGGAUGGACUCGCGGCUUAUCAGCUUGUUGGUGGGGUAGUGGCUUACCAAGGCUUUGACGGGUAGCCGGCCUGAGAGGGUGACCGGCCACAUUGGGACUGAGAUACGGCGCAGACUCCUACGGGAGGCAGCAGUGGGGAAUAUUGCGCAAUGGGCGGAAGCCUGAUGCAGCAACGCCGCGUGCGGGAUGACGGCCUUCGGGUUGUAAACCGCUUUCGCCUGUGACGAAGCGUGAGUGACGGUAAUGGGUAAAGAAGCACCGGCUAACUACGUG
rnacentral:rRNA from 1 species